rnacentral:tRNA from 2 species
AACAAAGUGGCCGAGCAUCAGGCAAAAGAUUGUAGCUCUUUAUACGGGCCACCCCCUUUGUAC